rnacentral:lncRNA from 1 species
UAUCAAUUAAAGAAAAGCACAUUAAAAAUAUUUCAAAAAAAUCUAGAAAAAACUUAUGAUAAUCAACUUUCACAAUAUUGAGAUGAGAAGAAACUGAGGAAUAAAGAGAUUCAACUAGAAAUUGAAUUACCAAUACAUGUAAUAAGUCACUGUUUCAUACAGCAAAAAUGACAAAUCUUUAAAAUGUUUUUCUUUUGAAAUACCAAAACUCAUGGGACCAAUAAAAUGAAAUAAAAUUGAAGAAUACAAAGCAAAUUCUUACACACUUAUAGUUUUAAAAAUAACAUUUUGAUUUAACUACUAAAAUGGUUGAAUUGAAAAUGUCUGUCAUUUAUUGCCCUCCCCAAAAAUAAAAACAGAAAAACAUAAACAAAGCUAUUCAAAUAUGGUUACUGGUCAUUUCUGUGUGGAGGACACUCUGGUAAGGUUAAAAUAUACAAAAUUAACAACUUCAUAACAGAACAAGUUGUUUAAAACAUUUUAUAGACAGGAAUCAAUAAAUAAUGAUUUUUUUAAGAUACAUGUGGCACAUAUGAAAAAAUUUAAAUUCUAUAAAAAAUAUAUUAAACAGUGCAAUAAGAUGUACAUUAAGUGUCUACAAGCCAAACUUGAAAACAUUUUUUACAGAUAUCUUGACUUCAGUUGUGGCAUUUUGAAAUCUGCUUAUUUUUUAUACGGCUGCAAAAAUUAAUUUUUUUUGGGUCGUAUAUUGGUAUCACUUUGUCGUCAGCGUUGUCCGAAGACGGAUGGAUUCCGGAUAAUAACUUUAGUUUCAGUGAAUAGAAAUCAAUAAAAUUUUAACACAAUGUUUAUAACCACAAAAGGAAGGUUGGGAUUGUUUUUGGGGGUUAUGGUUCCAACGGUUUAGAAAUAGGGGCCCAAAACAAGCAUUUAUCUAGUUUCAGGACAAUAAGUUGUGUAUAAGUAUUUCAAUUGUUCAGAAAGGUUUAAUACCAUAAGUAGAAAUUUGAGAUUCGUUUUAAGGGUUAUGGGGCAAACAGUCUGGGAAUUAAGGGCCAAAAACAAGCAUUUUUCUAGUUUCAGGACAAUAACUUGUGUGUAACUGUAUGGAUCUCUCUGACAUAAUUUGUACCACAAGGUUCCAUAUAAUAAAUAGAAGGCUAUGAUUGAGUUUGGGGUUAAUUUCCCAGAACAUGAAGGAAUAAGGGGCAAAAAAAUGGCCAAAAAGAAGCAUUCUUAUAGACCGCAAAAAUUGAAAUUUUUUGGUCGUGUAUUGGUAUUAGGGUGGCGUCGUCGUCGUCCAAAGACAUUUGGUUUUCACACUAUAACUUUAGUAAAAGUAAAUAGAAAUCUAUGAAAUUUAAACACAAAGUUUAUGACCCCAAAAUGAAGGUUGGGAUUGAUUUUAGGAGUUUUGGUCCCAACAGUUUAGGAAUUAGGGGCCAAAAGGGUCUAAUCAUGUAUUUAGAUUUUGGAUAUUGGUCCAUAAUAGGUAAAUGUCCAAUUUAAAAUUUUUAAGUUUUUAAGUUUAAGUUCUUAGACCAUAUUCAUUCUGUGUCAGAAACCUAUGUUGUGUCAGCUAUAUCAAGCUUAAAUGUUGUGUCCAUACUUGCCCCAACUGUUCAGGGUUUGACCUCUGCAGUCGUAUAAACCUGCGCCCUGCAGAGCAGCUGGUUCUAGUUUCAAACAAUAACUUGUGUUUGAUACGUGGAUCUCUCUGAAAUUAUACUACAAGGUUUCUUACUACAAAGGAAAGGAUGGAAUUGAGUUUUGGAGUUCUUGCUCCAAGGGGGGUUUCAAUAAAUUGGGGGCCAAAAAAGGGGCCCAAAUAAGCAUUUUGGUAGUUUCCAGUCAAUAUUAACUUGUGUUGAAGUGUAUAAAUAUCUCUGAAAUUAUACCACAAGUUUCCAUACAACAAAGGGAUGGUUAUGGGGUUAUGGCUCAAAUCAUAUAGCAAAUAGGGGUAAAGAAGGGGGAAAACAAGGGUUUUUCUGGUUAAAGGACAACUUAGACAAUUUAAAAGCAGUGUAAGGGAGUAAGGGUAACCCAAUUCAAUUUAAAGAAUACUGUUCUUUUGUAGACGAAACGCGUGUCUGGCGUCCUGGUAUCUAUGAUGAGUUUAUUUACAACCACUGGGUCGAUGCCACUUUUUGUGCUGACAUGAAUUGUCAUUGAUAUGGUUAUAUUUAUAAAUUUACUGUUUACAAAUUUUGGAUUUUUUUGAAAUACUAAGGCUUUUCUACCUCAGGAAUAGAUUUCCUUAGCUGUAUUUGGCAAAACUUUUAGGAAUUUUGGUCCUCUAGCUCUUCAACUUUGUACUUUAUUUGGCCUUUUUAACUUUUUUAGAUUCGAGCGUCACUGAUGAGUCUUUUGUAGACGAAACGCGCGUCUGGCGUAUAUACUAAAUUUAGUCCUGGAAUUUAUGAUGAGUUUAUUUAUAUAUAUAUAUAUGUUUGAUGACCUCCCUUCACUGCUUGACAAUUAUGUAUUAAGAAAUGAUGAUUGUCUUGAGAUGAUUAGCUGUAAUUUUAUUUUUAGAAGUUACUGUUACUUAAUAUUAAUUUUUACCAUGACUGUAUGUCAUUUUAUAUUUUAAUAUGUAUUUAAAUGAGUAGUUAUUGUUGCAAACUGCAUUAGAAAUUUGAAUUGAGAUUAUUUUUGGAAUAAGGAAACGGGGAGGUGAACAAAAAUUCAGAGGGUGGGGGUGGUAAAGUUUAUCUCAUUUCAGAUUUCAGAAAUUAAAAAGAAUUUUUCUUUAAAUAAUUUUUUUUUUGCUGGGAUUAAUAUUCAACAGCAUAGUGUAUUGCAAAAAAAAAUGUUUAAGUUCAUUAAACAACAUUCAUUUUGUGUCAGAAACCUUUGCUGUGUCAACUUUUUAAUCACAACCCAAAUUCAGAGCUGUAUCAAGCUUGAAUGUUGUGUCCAUACUUCACAGAUUUUGAGAAUUAUGAGAAUUAUAAAACUGCUUUAUGACAUUGUUUGCAGCAGAGUAAUAUUUUCUGAGCUAGCACUAAACUCUCAAUUUGCCAUGACUUUCCAUGAAGUUCAGAUGGAAGAAAAAACAACUACUAUAUCUUUCUUCCUUAUCUCUAGCUCCAGCCUGAAGGAAAAUAUCAACAAAUCAGGUGCUCUGCAGGGUGCAGCUUUAAACUACCACAGAGGUUGAACCCUGAACAGUUGGGGCUGUGUGAAAAUUUCCAAAGCAGGAAAUGUUUAAGUUUUGAUUCAAGUUUCACAUAUAAACUUGUGUGUGAUAGCUAGUUAAUUUAAUAAAAUCUAUCUUACAUGUAAUGAAAAAAAUAAAACACUUUAUCAAAAUUUUAUAUAAGAUAACCUUGUUACCUUAUAUUAUAUGGCAGUUUAAAGUUUGACAACA